rnacentral:tRNA from 1 species
GAGGCUUAGCUCAGUUGGUCAGAGCACUUGCCUUACAAGCAAGGGGUCAUCGGUUCAAGUCCGGUAGCCUCC